AACUAAGGAGACAGGAUCAGUCAAGUUGUCUGUCCUGAAGUUGAAUUAUUAUCAACAUGAAGUUAUUUUAUUACGCCCUCGCUGUAUUGCUGGUCAUCGCAAAUCUGAUGACAGUGAAGUGUGAAGAAUGCGAGUGUGAUGUACGCGACUUUAACCCCAUGUGCGGCAGCGAUGGAUGGUCAUAUGAGAACGAAUGCUAUUUGUACUGCGCUAAAGCAUAUAUGGUGCACAGAGGCCCUUGCAGAGAACCCGGAGACGAUGACUUUGGCAAUUAUUAAUUUUACAAACAACUUAUUGCAAAUGUAUAAUUACAAAAUCUCAAUUAUAGCAAAUUAUUGUUUGGGCAUGUUUCAU